AAGAAGAAGGAGGCAGCAGGCAGAAACUAUAUAAAUUGCUUCCAGCAAGGCUGAAAUGUUAGUAAGGUUAAAAAAAAAAUCAUCCAAAGCUCAUGGAGAUACCUUAGUGAAAGGUCUUUUGGGAGCCACAGCAGGUUAGGUAUGUCUGCCUUUAAUUGGGGUGUAACCCAAAUCACCUUCUUAAUAGUCAAUUAGACCUAACACAAAAGUAAUGGUAAAAGCAGCAAGUGCCUCACUGAAUCAAAGCACUCCAGAUUGUUAACUGCGUGAAAUAGAGAGGGUUACAGCUACGCAAGGGGAGGUCACCACAAGAUCUAAGAAGAGGUUCAGCUACCCAAGACUUUCAGAUCUCAGAAGGCGUCUUGAAAAAUCAUCCUGAUCUUACUUGGUUCACGACUGCAUGCAAACACCUUUAAAAAGAAGGACUUUUUAAAUGGAUAUUCACGUGGCUUUGACCAAAAUGCAGCCUUGCAAAUAACUGUAAGGCUGAACUACCUGCAGAAAAAUCUAAUUUCCUGGGGCUUUGUAGCAGUGGCUCAAAAUGCUGGAGCGGAGGCAAAGUGAUGUCUUCAGUUGUGAGAUGCCUCUUGUUUUCUUGUAGGAGACUGUCUUAUUUAAGCCAAGUCAGAAACUUGUGAAAUAAAACCACACUUUUCCCAUGCUCAGUAGAGACAUUUUUAUUUGAGCAACAAACAUUUCCAUACGUCCCAUCUUUCAGAAGCAUAUGCAGGUUUCUCAGGGCUUCUGUAGCCAGCAGAGAAGAUGUUGAUCAUCCCCAAAGACUGAGGGCACACGCUCUGUCCCCUCACACCUCCUUCCUGGGACCAAGCUAAUGUGAUCAUCUUCACCAUGUGCUGAACAUACUACAGCCGAAAAAAGGUGGAUUGCUCCAGUAAUGGUUGCUCCAGGUAGAAGUAGGUUAUGGGUGCUUGCUCUCAAAGUAAUGUCCUUGCUGGCAUCUGGGCAGGGUAAACAAGGAAUUAUUCAGAGAAACUGGAAAAGAUGCAAAAACUUGACUGAGAUCAAGAAAACACACAAAUAGAUCGUGGGAGAAAGAAGUAGCAGAAACUGGUUGUGAAUGGGAAUUCACUGGCCAAAAACAAAGGGAGGGAGAUGAUCGUGAGAGUGUCAGGACUGUUCCAUCAAGAAGACUAAGGCUGGGAGCCAGGAUCUGGUACUGUACUGAAUGGUGUAUUACUUUUGAGAAACCAAAACUUCAUUAAAGCAUACUAUUAGUGUCAUUUUUUUACAUAUACAAUUGAUGUAACUGAAGUAAAGAUAUUCAGCCAACACUGGAGAAGAAUUCCCCCAAGCUGUGAGGAGGUGAAGAUAGUCUUCUGAGUGCAAGCAGAGGAUGAGUGCUCACAGGGCAGCCUCCUAUAAAGCUUAAGUCUGUGCUAUAGAUUGUCCUAGUAUCUUCGUUCCAGGUGAAACACCAGAAUUUGGUGUCCUAAAUGUCUUUCUUUUUUUCUGAGCAAAUAGCAGAACAAUAGCAGAGUGAAAGAUCUAACAGAAACCUUCUUUGGUGUUGAGCUGUGUGAGUUGGAAAUACUGUAUAUCCCAAUUAAAUACAGCCAGGCUGUUUGAACUGCUCUGUUUCAGUAAGCAAGCGAUGUAUCACAGCAACACCUGAGGGUACUGCUUUGAUCACAGCCUGUCAGCAUUUCCACUGUGAACUUUGUUUAUUAGAGGUUGGCUGCAAAAGAUCCCUAUAUCCUGAAAUUUCAGUGCAAAGCCUGUGACAGUCACCAGUCAGGGGAAUCAGGAUGAUAGCAGCUCACCCAGCAGUAUUCCUCUAUGGUAUUUUUGUUUUAAAAUCUGAGGGUUUUUUCUUUUCUGAAAACUAAAGUUUCCAUUUCAUCCCAAAAGUGCAUUAAUCCUUACUGCAUACUGACGAAGAAAAUCAAACAUCUGAAUUAUUAAGGGAAGUGCUUGAAUGGGUGAAAAAACUCCUCAUCAAAUUUUCAUUCAUUCAUUUUGUACAGUUUUCAGGACACAAACGAAGCAUUCCUCAUCCUGUCUUCCUACUGGACUCUAAGGUGGUUAAACCACAUCGAACCGGCAUAAAAGACCGGGUGGGGGAGAGAAGAGAAAGGAAGUGUCACAUCCUCUGCUGUGAAUAGCUAACACGCUAGCAGCCGUGCUGUGAUGAAUGCUUAAAUCCUUCCCCUGCCUGCUUUGGAGCAGGGCCCUGGGAUCAGGUCCUUCUGCUGAGUACCUUAAUCAGUGGGUCUCACUGCCUAGGUCUCUCUCAGCCUUCCCUGCUGAAACUGCUCUGCUUUGUAUGAACUAAUUAAAUAUUCAGAGGAUUGGAGUGAAAAGGGAUCUGCGGCUUGGGGUGGGGGUG